UUUUGCUGAUGAGCAGAAACAUGCCUGUUUACUAUCAAAGACACAGUAUCCCAGAUACAAAUCCUUGCUCUGUGUGAAUUGGCGUCUAUCAGUCCUAGGCUUGCCAAGACACAAAAAAUGGAGGAAAAUAAACAAAAUUGUACUGCAUGCCAGGAAGAAAAGACCUGGGACAGUGGUUCAGCCCAUAAACCCUUCUCUAUAAGAUCUGGCUUGAAAUUCAGUACAGCAGUAAUGAUUGCAUUGCAGCCUGGGGCACAGUACUGAGGAAACAACAAACUGCAAUGCUGAAUCAAGUCAACUCCUUCACGUUUGAGAGCAGCUAUGUGGGCCUUUGUUAUCAUUAAAUGAACUUCAGUGAGCUUGUGAAGAUAUGCAGAGACAAGCUCUGUGGAGCUCCUUGUAUUUCAUGUGAACAGAGGAGCCAUCUCACCCUAGUUGUGCGGAUCCAGAGCACAGUGUGUACCCAAUUCUGCUAAUGUUCAGUAUAAAAUGGAGACAACUAAAUUUAGGCAUCUCUGUGUAGGUUUAUACAUGUGAGCCAGAUGUCUAAAUUCCCAUUGUGGUCUUUGAAUGAAAAGCCCUCAAUACAGCCACGAAGGCAGAAGUUUAAGAGAUUUCUGCUUGCCCUAAAAAACAAGGAGACACCCCCGCCUCCGAGGGGUGUUUUGAGUCUUCUCUCUCCUUUUAGUCUGUGGGGAGAGCCGGCGGUGUCUCUGUUCUGAAGCAGCUAAAUACAUUAAAAUAAAUACAAUAUGUGGUAAGUUAAUGAAUGCUAAUCAAGAUUAAUACGCUGAAAUCACUGAGAUUCAUCUUUUCAAGAGAGGGAUAAGUCAGAGGAAAAUCAAGCUGCAUAUGUCUGAUAGCUGCACAAAAUUGCUGUAGAUGAUUUAAUGGGUCAUUUUUAUUAUUUAUGCUGUAUGCAUUCCAAUUCAGUAACAAAAAGACUUGCCAGCAUGAGAUUAACCGAGGGAUCAUUGUGUCAACUAAUACGUGAAACUGGUUCCAAAUACUCUUGAAUUCACCAAAUGCAUGAAAUACCCCAAAUCAGCCUAUUGUGGGGGCAUCAUACACCCACUGGUUCACAGAGAAACAUGAAACCAUCUCUGCUUAACAUGAGAGGAUCAUUUUUUCUCAUUCUCAAGACAUAAUCAAAAUUAAGAAAUACUCUACAUCUUGUAUUAGUUACAUACGGUGCACAUAAUUAUCUGUGGACCCUGAGAGAUAUCUAAGGAUCUGCAAGGAGGGGCAAGAAACGUAAAAUGUAGUUUUGUUAAGGCAAAAACAUUCAACUGCAACUGUGUACAGUGGGAUAGGGCAGAAGUGCAAGGCAAUAAAUAACAGGUUUGUU